UCUCCCUGCCCCGCCCCAGCCCAGCAGAGCAGCACAGUCGUUUCUGGUCCUGCAGCAAGAAAGGGAGGCAAUAGAGGACAGGGACAGUGACUGCGUGUCUGGACUGCUCAGGAGAUCAUCAGCUCAGGCGGCAGCUCCUGCAGCCCCAGGGCCAGACCCGCUUCCCAGUGGCCCAGGCAGCUGCUGCCACGUGGGCACAAGCUCUGCUGCCCAGGAGGGUCUUGUAGUGCAGAACUUUGCAGACGGCCACGUAGCGGUCGUAGGACAUGAUGGUGAGAAGGGCAAGCUCCGCUGUGAUCAAGAAGAAAAGCAAAAAACACCUGUGCAGCUCAUCCUGAGUAGGAGAUGCCCCUGGUGUUCCAGAGGGAAUUGGCCAUGGCUUUGGGGAGAGUGGUGCAGAUGCAACCCAGGUCUGACAGAUGUGUCAUGGUGACACGGGGGGCAUCGUGGAACCAAAGGAACCCUGAGGCAUUCCAGAAUCCCACGUGUGUUGGGUCUGAGCUGGAGUUCAUUUUCUCACUGCAGCCGUCACAGUGCUGUGCUUUGCAUUGGGAGCUACAAAGGGGUUAAUCACACCAGUGCUUUGACAACUGCUGAGCAGGGCUGGCACAGCAUCGGCAUUGUCAGCUUCCUCCCUUGAAUGGGGGGCAAGAUCAUGGGAGGGGAUAGAGACAGGCCAGUUGAGCCAAAGGGACCAAAGGGAGAUUGCAGAAUAUAUGGCGUCAGCUCAGCUACAAAAGCUCACAAAAGGAACAGGAAAGGGGGAAAAUCCAUUUUUUUACAAUACUUGCCUUCUGAGCGGCCUCUCUGUGUGGUGAAGCCCUGCUUUGCCUGAAGUGGUCAGGCAUGGCUGCUGACGGGAAGUAGAGAAUAAACCUCUUUAUUUUCCUCUUC